UGGGGAAUUUUGGACAAUGGGCGAAAGCCUGAUCCAGCAAUGCCGCGUGUGUGAAGAAGGCCUUCGGGUUGUAAAGCACUUUUGUCCGGAAAGAAAUCCUUGGCUCUAAUACAGUCGGGGGAUGACGGUACCGGAAGAAUAAGCACCGGCUAACUACGUGCCAGCAGCCGCGGUAAUACGUAGGGUGCAAGCGUUAAUCGGAAUUACUGGGCGUAAAGCGUGCGCAGGCGGUUUGCUAAGACCGAUGUGAAAUCCCCGGGCUCAACCUGGGAACUGCAUUGGUGACUGGCGGGCUAGAGUAUGGCAGAGGGGGGUAGAAUUCCACGUGUAGCAGUGAAAUGCGUAGAGAUGUGGAGGAAUACCGAUGGCGAAGGCAGCCCCCUGGGCCAAUACUGACGCUCAUGCACGAAAGCGUGGGGAGCAAACAGGAUUAGAUACCCUGGUAGUCCACGCCCUAAACGAUGUCAACUAGUUGUUGGGGAUUCAUUUCCUUAGUAACGUAGCUAACGCGUGAAGUUGACCGCCUGGGGAGUACGGUCGCAA
rnacentral:rRNA from 1 species